GAUGAAGAACGCAGCGAAAUGCGAUAAGUAAUGUGAAUUGCAGAAUUCAGUGAAUCAUCGAAUCUUUGAACGCACAUUGCGCCCGGCAGUAUUCUGCCGGGCAUGCCUGUUCGAGCGUCAUUUCAACCAUCAAGCCCCAGCGCUUGUGUUGGGGGCCUGCGGCUGCCCGCAGGCCCUGAAACCCAGUGGCGGGCUCGCUAGUCACACCGAGCGCAGUAGCACAUCUCGCUCAGGGCGUGCGGCGGGUUCUUGCCGUAAAACAACCCCCCCUUUUCACCAAGGUUGACCUCGGAUCAGGUAGGAAUACCCGCUGAACUUAAGCAUAUCAAUAAGCGGAGGA
rnacentral:misc_RNA from 1 species